CAGGGAUUGCCUUAGUAACGGCGAGUGAAGCGGCAAUAGCUCAAAUUUGAAAUCUGGCGCUUGCGUCCGAGUUGUAAUUUGCAGAGGAUGAUUUUGGUUAGGUACCUUCCGAGUUCCUUGGAACAGGACGCCUUAGAGGGUGAGAGCCCCGUACGGUUGGAUGCCGAGCCUUUGUAAAUCUCCUUCGACGAGUCGAGUAGUUUGGGAAUGCUGCUCUAAAUGGGAGGUAAAUUUCUUCUAAAGCUAAAUACCGGCCAGAGACCGAUAGCGCACAAGUAGAGUGAUCGAAAGAUGAAAAGCACUUUGAAAAGAGGGUUAAAUAGCACGUGAAAUUGUUGAAAGGGAAGGAUUUAUGACCAGACUUUUUCUAGGAGGAUCAUCCGGUGUUCUCACCGGUGCACUUCUUCUAGUUUAGGCCAGCAUCGACUUUCGGCGGCGGAUAAAAGCUUUGGGAAUGUGGCUCCUCUCGGGGAGUGUUAUAGCCCAUUGUAUAAUACGCUGCUGGGGGUCGAGGUACGCGCUUCUGCAAGGAUGCUGGCGUAAUGGUUAUCAAUCACCCGUCUUGAAACACGGACCAAGGAGUCGAACAUUUAUGCGAGUGUUUGGGUGUUAAACCCUCACGCGUAAUGAAAGUGAACGGAGGUGAGAGCCCUUACGGGUGCAUCAUCGACCGAUCCUGAUGUCUUCGGAUGGAUUUGAGUAAGAGCAUAACUGUUCGGACCCGAAAGAUGGUGAACUAUGCGUGGAUAGGGUGAAGCCAGAGGAAACUCUGGUGGAGGCUCGCAGCGGUUCUGACGUGCAAAUCGAUCGUCAAAUCUGCGCAUGGGG
rnacentral:rRNA from 1 species